UCCGGCUUAUCGCCGACAGUUUCCUUAGGGUGCUCGGCUCUCCCGUUAGCAACUAAGGACAAGGGUUGCGCUCGUUGCGGGACUUAACCCAACAUCUCACGACACGAGCUGACGACAGCCAUGCAGCACCUCUAGGGCAGUCCCCGAAGGGACGCGGGCGUCUCCGCCCGCUUCCGCCCCACUUCGAGCCCAGGUAAGGUUCUUCGCGUUGCGUCGAAUUGAACCACAUGCUCCACCGCUUGUGCGGGCCCCCGUCAAUUCCUUUGAGUUUCAGCCUUGCGGCCGUACUCCCCAGGCGGGAUACUUAAUGCGUUAGCUUCGCCACGGGGUCUACCCCCACAGCCAGUAUCCAUCGUUUAGGGCUAGGACUAC
rnacentral:misc_RNA from 1 species